rnacentral:lncRNA from 1 species
GUAAAUUGAAAAACCUUGAAAUGAAUGCUACUGAUGGAUUUGCUGAAUGAACCUCUGUGCUCUGGUUUGAUUCACAAGGCAUCGGGACUCUCAAGGGCACUUUUAUCUGCAGGGAAUCUGCAAUUCCAGUGUAAAAGGGGACCAAGAGGGCUGCUAGCCGCUUGCACAGAUGAUCUCAUUUAACCCAUGAGGGUGUCUCCCAGAACUGGAUCUCCAUCUGCAGGCUGGUACUAACCCUCACAGGCAGAAGGACUAACUUCAAUGUUCGGAGACAAAAUGGAUACAGGCAGGCCUAAAGGCCCUAAUUCUGAGGCGUAUCACAUUCAUGCUGCUGCUCGCUGAUUCUAAUAUGGGCUCUUGUCCUAGUCCCAUAAUGCUGGCCUCACCAUAUACUCCAUUUCUGGAAUCAGAUCCACAGUGUAUUCUCUGUUCCGGUGGCCCAGAUUCGGAAAAGUGCCCAUAACACCACUCCCCAGGGACACCUGCUGCUGAAUUCUGACUCCGGCAUCGGCCAGGGUGCUCCAUUCUACCAGGAUUAACUGUUUCACAGCCUUUCCAUUUGAGCUCAGAAUCAUUUAACCAAAGCACAAGUGAUCCACUUUUAAUUAUGAUACUGACAGGAAAUCCAAUAUAGGGGAGAGAACAUGGUGAGUUUGAAGCAUUCUGCCUGGUAUACUGUGACAUCUGAACAAAUUUGUAUUGAUGAUUUGGACAGGAUUUUAAAAGUAAUAAUCGGAGAACUAAACCAUCUUGAACUAUGAAGUUCAAAAACAGAUAAAGUUAAUUUAUCGUGAUAGAAGUCAGGAAAAAUAGUUACCUCUUGGGAGAGAGUCUUACUGAUUAGAAAGGAGCAAGAAGAAACUUUUGAGGUAAAGUAAAACGCGUUAUAUCUCACCUUGAUCUGGUUAGUGGUUAUACUUAAUAUUUGAGCAUUGUGCUGCAUGUAAAUUACCUCAAUUUUCCAAGCACAAAAAUAAAAGAGGAUAGACAAGAUUUUGAGAACGGAUUCAUUUUAUCUGUUCCUGCUUUUCAAACACAACUAUCCUUAACCACUAAAGACAGAUGAACAUCUGUACAGAAAUGGCUUUUCCUCUACAAAAGCAAAUAUUCUUACCUCUCACCGUCAAAUCCUACUAUUAAUAGUUUUAUUUGGUGAAAAGCAGAAUUAUUUAUUUAGGGUCAAAAAAGGACAAAUUUUUCAAACAUUUUCUUCUGUGAUCUAAAAAAGGAAGCAUAACUAGUAGGAAUUAACAAAGGGCAAGGCCUAAAUUCACCUACAUUUUUGUAAUUGAAAAUUGAUUACAUUAAGUCGUCAACAAUGACGCCGUUUAGUGUUGCUUGGCUGUCUGCCUAAGCAUUGGUUAGUAAAAGAAUGGUUUUGAAACAAAGUUACCACAUUAUUAUAACCUCUUUAUGCUCUUUUAAUUUUUCUCCUCAUGAUACUUUUGUCCUCCACCUCAGGCUUUAAAUGUUGCUCAUUUCUUAUAUUGUAAAUUAAAUACUGCAUUUUAACCUCUGAAAUAUAAAUUAUUGUGAAAAUUCAGUAAUUCAGUAAGAAUAAUUACCAGCCGUGAAAUAUAUUAACUGCCACAUACCUACUAUAUAGAACUGAAUAAGGUCAACUAAUUAACUUUCCUUGUGGGUGUCAUUCAGAAAUGACUAAGGGGUGAAAUCAUGUUAAGCUAAAAUAAGUCGAGACAAUGAAUUGCUUAAUGGUGUCUGAGCUGAAUUCUGAUUGCCUGUGUAAACAAUUCAUCAAUCUUACCAUCUUCUAGGGACUUGGGGGAAAUCAUUCCCUAUCCCCUGACACAAAAUAAAUAUGAAAAAGUUCAACUGUAAGUUUCUGGUUUUCAAGUACACUAAACAACAGAAAAUUGAAAUGAAUUCUCACUUAUUCUCAAAAUUGGAUUUUGUCACAAGAUGACAUGUUAUAUUUAGCGUAUAACAAGCUAUUGGCUGGGUUUGGUGAAGACUGUUCCAGCAAUUACAAGAUUUAAUUUUUAAGGGACUUAUUCUCUGUCUCCCCAUCUCUGUCCAAAAAAUAAAGUAAGGUUUGGUCCUAAAGUGAAAAUCUGG